CACGUAGGGGGCGAGCGUUGUCCGGAUUUAUUGGGCGUAAAGAGCUCGUAGGCGGCUCGGUAAGUCAGGUGUGAAAACUCUAGGCUCAACCUAGAGACGCCACCUGAUACUGCUGUGGCUAGAGUCCGGUAGGGGAGCAUGGAAUUCCUGGUGUAGCGGUGAAAUGCGCAGAUAUCAGGAGGAACACCAGUGGCGAAGGCGGCAUCCUGGACCGGUAUUGACGCCUGAGGCGCGAAAGCCAGGGGAGCAAACGGG
rnacentral:rRNA from 1 species